GAUGAACGCUGGCGGCGUGCUUAACACAUGCAAGUCGAACGGAAAGGCCCAAGCUUGCUUGGGUACUCGAGUGGCAAACGGGUGAGUAACACGUGGGUGAUCUGCCCUGCACUUCGGGAUAAGCCUGGGAAACUGGGUCUAAUACCGGAUAGGACCACAUUUUGGAUGGUGUGGUGGAAAGUUUUUCGGUGUGGGAUGAGCUCGCGGCCUAUCAGCUUGUUGGUGGGGUAAUGGCCUACCAAGGCGUCGACGGGUAGCCGGCCUGAGAGGGUGUACGGCCACAGUGGGACUGAGAUACGGCCCAGACUCCUACGGGAGGCAGCAGUGGGGAAGAUUGCACAAUGGGCGCAAGCCUGAUGCAGCGACGCCGCGUGGGGGAUGACGGCCUUCGGGUUGUAAACUCCUUUCGCUAGGGACGAAGCGUUAUGUGACGGUACCUGGAGAAGAAGCACCGGCUAACUACGUG
rnacentral:rRNA from 1 species